rnacentral:lncRNA from 1 species
GUGAAUAUCAAUUUUACAGAAAACUCUUCCGUCACUUUUAUACAUUUUCAUCUUCUCUCAUGUCUCACUGUUUACACAUCUCACAGAUCUCACUUUUUAUGCAUAUCACAUAUCUCACUUUUUAUACAUCUCACAGAUCUCACUUCAUGUGACUCCAUCUUCACUUUAUUUCUUUCAUCUUCAUAUUCACCUUAUUUCUUUCAUCUUCACUUUCUUCUCACUUUUAUCUUCACCUUCUUCUCUUUUUCAUUUUCAUUUUCAUCUUCACUUUUAUCUUCACGUCUUGCUGCCGCCCACAAACUUCUUUAUUUUUUUAAAAAUGGUGACUCGCCGGUUCAACCAGGAACCGGCCGAGUCACCGGUUUUACCUGAACU